rnacentral:rRNA from 1 species
GACGGAGGGGGCAAGCGUUGCUCGGAAUUAUUGGGCGUAAAGCGCGCGCAGGCGGCUUGGCGCGCCCGACGUGAAAGCCCCCGGCUUAACCGGGGAGAGUCGUCGGGUACGGCCAGGCUUGAGGGCGGGAGAGGGUGGUGGAAUUCCCGGUGUAGUGGUGAAAUGCGUAGAGAUCGGGAGGAACACCUGUGGCGAAGGCGGCCACCUGGGCCGACCCUGACGCUGAGGCGCGAAGGCGUGGGGAGCGAACGGG